rnacentral:lncRNA from 1 species
CAGUUCCUUCUGGGAGCACUUUGGGGAACUUCUACUUUGUAUAGAAAUAUUUUGGUAUGGUUUGCAUUUUUACAAUGAGAAGAUAAUAUUUUUGAAAUACUAUAAAGCAGAUGAAAAACAUUCAAAACAACCUAUUUGAAGCAGAUCUUGUGAACUAUACAAGGAUUUGUACACUUUUUGUCAGGUGUUCGCUAGAGAAGCAGUACAGAAGUGUGGAUAGUGUGUCAGCCUUGAAAUUACAUUCUGGGUUUAAAGCCUGGUGUCUCUUACCAACUCAUAAGACUGAGGAUUAACUCGAUGGAUUCUGGCGUAGUCACCCUAAAUCCCAUCUUGUUCACCCUGGUCUCCAGGUGCUUCCACCAGUCUCUAGAACCUACCAAGAGCGCAGCUGAUGAAGUCAUCCCCUGGCCUACAUAUAAGUUGGGGACAGGGGUGUCUCAGAGAGGCAAAAUAUAAUGAGCACUGGAAUCUAUGUGAUCUUAAUUUAUCCAACCUCUGCAGAACUCUGUUC